UCGUUAAGUGGGUGAAUCUGUAUGGGAAUUUGGGGGUGGAAUGGAGGGCCUCGGUGGAGAAGUGGGGAGGAGGUGAUUGGCUCCUCCAGAAGAGGGUGGAACAGGGCCUGCUUUGUUAAGAGACUGCGUCCCCUGUGGAUGCAUUUCUAAAACUAGGUUGAUGGGACCCAUUCUUAAAAGCAGUCGAAUCACACACACUGCUUCUGAUACAGCCUUGGCGUGGAGUCUUACUAGUGUGUGCCUUGUAGCAGGGGGAACCCAGAGGUUGCUUAAGGCCUACCUCUUGAUUUGUGCUUACUAAGUAGGUAAUUAUGUAAUUGAAGGAACUGAAUGAAAUCAAAUUACAGGGGCAGGGAUGAGAAACCAACUGCAAAAGAAAACCAACUGCACUUUUAAGAGGUUGGCGUGCUCGGCUUUAAUGUUAAAAGGCAUCAAGUAAAAUGGCUUCAUUUAUCUGGAGCCUUUAAAGGCCCAUGACCUGAAGCUAUUAAAAUAAGGAGGAGUACAGGAAGAUGCAGUGUAUAAUUGCAGAACAGGAAAUGAAGCAAAAGAAUAAUUUUGGCUAACAGUCGUGAAGAAUAAUCAGGAGGUGUUUUCCAGAUAAUACAAGAUUGAAAUUCUACUUAUUCUUCCACACUUCUUUUACAUCAUUUACUUGAGGUCUGUGGAAGAUUAUAGUACAUGUUUUAGCUGGUUCUCACAAUAGUCCUAAUAGUUAACUGGAAAGAUACUGACUUAUUCAAGGCCACCCAGUAGGCUCCCUGACUGUGCAGAGGUCUGAACUUCUUUCAGAUGCAAAUCUAGUAUAUUCUGUUAACUGCUAAAUGAAUCAGGAUUACAAUUCUUGAUUAAAUUUAAAAUACAGCUAAUAUAAAUCGUCUAGGUUGGCAUCUAAGACACAUUUAGCCCAGAAAAAGUUGAGGAAAUUUAAUAAACCCCUAUGUAUGAUAAAUGUAAUGUUGAUUUUAAUAGCUAUUUCUGUUAAGUAAAAUGGAAAAUGUAGAAAUGUAGAGGAACAUAAAUUAAUUUGCUCCAAAAUAAGCCUGGUUUUGCAUAACUUGCCAGGGUAAAAUAAAGUGUGUGACACACUCUGCAUUGUGCAAACCCAGCCAGUACUGUAUAUUUAAUUUAUUGGUUAGCGUGCACUAUGUACCCAGACAGCUGGGUUAAUUAUGGGCUUGCAUGUUGUGUGAACAAAGCCUCAAUUUACAAUUGCAGUUAAUUUGUAAUAGUAACUGAACUGUUGUAGGUAUCUCUUUAAAAUGUAGGAUAAAAAGGUUUUUUUAGAUAGCCCUCUUAAUUCUUAAUGAGUCUAACAUUUUUAAAUAUGCAUUUUUAUUGUUUCUACUUAUUUAGCAUCAUUAGUAUAUUCCACCUCCAUGAAUUUCAAAAGCAAAUAUAAACAAGGGGGGUAGGUGUCCAACCUAAAAGAUCUUAACAUUUAAAGCAAGCAAUGAAGAAGAGAAUAAAACCGGGCGGUAAGAAGAGGAAGAUGGAGAGACUGAAUGGGUCAGGAGAAUGGCAUGGAAUUUGGCUAGAUUGUGAAUGAGCAUAUAUGGUAACUGAUGAUGAUUAAACGCAGCUGGACUUGCUGAGGAAGGCAGAAGGCUGGCAAGUGCUGGAGUCUCAAGAAAAUGCCAGGCCUUCCUAAGAAGCCAUGAUCACACUGAUAACUGAGCAGCUACAAAAGCAGAGCUUGGAGAAAUUGAAAUGCAUAUCAUUCAGCAUCAACCUGGUCUCGAGUCCACGGUGAACGUGCCUGGAAAUUAAUACAUUAUAGCAGCACAAAGUCCCGGCAGGUGCAGCCAGGAACAGACCUUAUCUUUUCCACCCAGAAGUUUGAACACUGAGGUGUAGACUUCCAAGAAUGGGAUGUGGCCUAAUGAAGCUUUUGCAGGAAAGCCUUUGCCCGAUCAUGCAAAUGUGGCCAGCUGUGGCAGCCCCUUCCAGAUAGCGCCCGGUAAGAAUAUCUGGCUGGACUUCUACCCUUUGUGCCUACAUCUCUUGUCUUCUUUUUCUUCUUAUGUUUUCUACAUGAAGCACAUAAUUAACAAGAUAAACUUACUUUCUGGUCUCCCUGUGUAGGCUAUAUAUCUGAGAUAUUGUUACCCUUCUUAAAUGAACAUUUGGUCAAAAUAGCAAAUGUUCUUUUUUAAUCAGUGGUCACUACGAUAAAAGCUGGAAGUCUGUUUAAACAAUAACAGGAACUACUAUUUUCAGGCAAUCUAUAGAGGAGGGAAAAGUUUUAAAAGUUUAAUCGGUUUUAAACUGUAGGUUUCUUAUUUCUGCAUGUUUGUAUUGGAAGUUCUCAAUAGUUUUAUGUUGCAGUAUCCAUAUUAGCUAUGGUAAAUGUAUAGACUUGAAUAAAUAGUUCCAAUGGUAUUCUUACGUAAGAAUUUUAGGAUGUAUAAUAUACAUAAUAGUUAACUCUUUCUAAAAACUGGCUCUAGCAAAAAAGUAAAAACCUAUUGUGAUGAAUAAUUUUAAAGAAUCUUUAAUAGUCAAUACUAUAACAACCUCAAUACAUAAAUAGAGCAAUUUUAGCAUGCAAUGUAAGAAAUUCAAGGUGAAUAAAUUAAAGCAUAUAUUCUAAAAUUUAAAAUUAAUAUGCUACCACUCUUAUUACAAAAA